AGGGGCCCCUGUGAAGCCAGAGAAGAGCUAUGUGGCAGAGAACCAGCAAGAAGAACUGAUAACAUCUUGCAGAGGAAUGGCUGUUUCUCCUAAUGAGCCAAAAGGAUGGCCAGUCACUGCUGGAAAAUACCUGAAAACACCAUAUAGGAGUUUAUGAACAACCUGUUGAUGUUCGCCUUGAUCAGGGAGCAGAGUUCAGAGAAGAUUGUCCAGAUGGUGAUACACGUGAAGUGGAAAGCAUCAGAUAAUGAAGAAACUUGAGCAAAUUGCUUCCCUCUUCAGCUCACAUGCUGAUGUCAGCCCCAGACAACAAAAUAAGCAAAUUCUGAUGAAGAAAGCAAAAGUGUUGAUCCUAAUUAGAACCGACAAAGGCAUUUUUCAUCCUGCAUCCCCUGUUUAAAGGUUGACUCUUGGCAGGCGUGUGAUUGCUCGGCACUCUUGACCAGGGCGUCCAUCACACAGGGAAUGUGCAGCAAGGCCAGAACCAGGAUUCAUGCCUGGAACUGAAAUGCCUGCCAGAAGCAGAUAGGCCAUUCUCUUCAAAUGAUGACAGAAUAAUUGCCUCCCAGUGGAUGGCUAGAAUCUGCUGGCAGACCUUUCAGGGAUUCUGCAGAUAUUGCUUAGCUGCCUGAUUAUUGCUGAAUUUAAGGAGACCAUAACAGGUUACUCAGGAAUGUUCAAGAUGACAUUAAAGCCAGAAAUAAAUUUUGGAACUUAGACCAAAGACUAAAAUUUAAUGCAGGGACCAGCAUUUUUUAUUUUAUUUGUUCUUGUAGUGUCUAACAAUAGUAACCUCUGGCCUUACAGCAUUGGCUUUAAAGUGGUAGAAGAGACAAAUGCAAAAGAAAUUCAAUAUGAGAGAACAUUAAUAAAAAAAUAUAGUUGAACUACUGCCCAGUGUUACUGGGAUGACUCCAAACGUAAAUGUUCUUUCUCACACUUUGUUUAAGGUCACAGAUAUUCUAGAGGUUAGCUUAGAUUAAAUAUUUUUUGUCAUUUUGGCUGCAUUGAAGCUCACCGUGCUGACAGAUUUUAUGUGUGGAGUGGUUUCACAAGGGAAACGGGUGAGGCAGUCCUGUUGUGCGGAUGAGUGCUAUAAAAAGCUGCUCUUGAGAGUGUAAAUGUGGUACUGGAUCUUGUCUUCACAGUUUGGCAUCAAAUGGAAGAUAAUACAUCCUGAUACCCAGGGUUAAUAUCUUCACAGUUUUUAGGACAGUUUAUAAGUGGAAAAGAAGGCCAGACACGGAAUCAAAAGAUAAGUUAUAAAAUCCUUGGGGUUGGAAGGGACCUUUAAAGGUCGUCUAGUCCAACCCUCAAAUAAAUGAAAAGCCAGAUUUAUUCUCUUUUUCACAUCAGAGUCUGGUACUAUAAACAGAGCAUGGUUUUGGAUCUGGCUGGGGAAGAGGGCAAUUUUACUCUUGCCUGAUUGCUGUUUAUGGGGCUGGUCCCUCUCCACCACUCUGGUGUCUCAUAUGCCUCUGCUCUUAACCACAGCCACAUAUUUGUGAUUUCCCUUUCUGUGAGUUUCAGGGAAUUGACAUUUUUCUGAUGUUCUUGGAAUGUAACAAUAUAAAAAGGGAAUAGAUGUUCAACCCUCUGAGGAUAGUUUGAGAUUCAACCCCUUGAAAAUUUAUGUCCUGACUCUGAUGCAGUAGGAAAUUACUUUGUGUUCUGAGGGAGAGGCAAAGGAGGGCUCUGGGUAUUUACUGUAGCAUUCUUUGGUGUGUGUGUCUGUGACAAAAACAUCUGAAAUCUAAGCAAGGUCAGAUACUUCAUUUGUGCAGGAAGCAGACCAACCCAAUGGGCAAUUCUAGACAUGAAUUGACAGAACUUUCAAUGUUCUCAUAUUCAUUUGUGUUUCUAAACUGACUGGAAAGAAGACCAUCUUCAUUUUUGGAAGGUCAUAGAUUCUAAAGGUUAAACUAAUAUGAUGAGGUAAUUGAUAUUUUUGAGACAAUUUUUAAAUUCAUUGGCAAUGACUUCAAGGAGGAAAAAAUUCUUAAAGUGAUGAAAUUGUCCAUUGGGAAAAGUGAUAAGUUGAAUACAUGCAAAUAAGACACAAAGUUUCAAGCUAAAGUUUCCCUCUAUUUUUUUUUUCUCUGUAUAUACAUAUGUAUAAAGCAAUGUGAGCAAAUGUAAUCUCAGGGUGCUACAGCAUUACCUGAUGUAAAUUGGCUGAGCUUCACUGAUUUUGGUAGGACUAUAUGUAUGUAUUAUAAAAGGGGACAUUAGCUGGUGGUUUAUAUUUAUAUGAAGUCUGUCAUCAGUCCAUCCUACACUCCGGCAGCACUUAACUAAAUUGCUGGGUAAUAUGAAUUUCAGUCAAGUAUAGAAAUGUUUUCAAAAGUUAAGUCAGCACCUAGGAAAAAAAAAAAAACUAAAAAAACCACAAAAAACCCAAAAAACAAAUGUCGGAAAUAAUGUCAAAUAUUUUUCUAACCAGAACUUUACACAGUGAGGAAAAUUGCAAUAGUAUCUAAUAUUUUGAAAUUAUCAAUUGUACACAGUUUCAGUUCAAGCUUUGUUCUGAACUACCCAGUGCAGAAAGAAGUGAAUGUGUUUUAUGACCACC